ACAAAUAAAUUCAGAAUUCUACCUGGCUUCCCUUGUUUAAUCCACAGCAACAGCAACACCAAUCAACGAUUGGUUGAUUCAACGAAGACUUAUCAACGAUUGGUCGGCUACUAAGCUGCAUACCACUUAAUUAACCACACCCGUUUCUCACAGGAAAGGUGGCGGGUUUUCUACCUGCUGCUGAUUGUUGUUAACAAUCUUGAUUGAUUUCUUGUUCAUUCAGAGAAGAUGGAGGAGAUCGUGGAUGACAGACGAAGCGCAAACACAGACAGGGAACCGGCGAGUAGAGUAACACAGGAGACAGGAGACAUGGAGGACCAGGAAGACAGGAGCAUUGCAGUUUUUCGUGUGAGAGUCCUGCCCUUCUGACCUUUGGAGGCUCAUACUGUUCAAUAAGGGUAUGAAUCCACAUUCUUGCCUUGACACUGUUGACUGGACCUAAUGGUGUGUUGUCAAUGAUAGCACAAGCAUUCACUACAGUGAAGACACCGCAGUCAUACCCAUUUCCUUGUUGUGGAGUAUUCACCACAUCUGAAGUUUUCCAGUCAGAAGCCUGAAAGGUUUCUGUUGCUGAAGUGUACAUGCAAGCUACUACUUUCAUUAGUUUUGGAGCAGCAUGCUUCAAAGUUUUAAGACUGUGGAUUGAAUUGAACACUGAGAUUUCUCGCUCUCUGAAAUUUACAGUGGCAAGAACCCAGUGAUAACCACAGCCAGUAAUGUCAGUGUUGAAGGGUAUUAUGAUUAGAUCAUAAUUUAGAGCCUUUUUUGCAGCACAAAACUGCAAAAUUGGAGUAAAGUCUUCUAGUGCAGCUAGCUGGUAAAGGUAUGUGGGUACACAUAGAAUUGAGUCUGACUUUUUUUGUUGGUGAAUGAAGACAUUAAUUGCCUGCUCAAUUGUUUCCCCUUCAAGCCAGGUCAUUGGAGAUAGACAGCGGC